UACGUAGGGGGCAAGCGUUAUCCGGAUUUACUGGGCGUAAAGCGCGCGUAGGCGGACGUUUAAGUCUGGCCUGAAAGCCCCCGGCUCAACUGGGGAGGGUCACGCGAUACUGAUCGACUCGAAGGCAGGAGAGGGUAGUGGAAUUCCCGGUGUAGUGGUGAAAUGCGUAGAUAUCGGGAGGAACACCAGUGGCGAAGGCGACUACCUGGCCUGUUCUUGACGCUGAGGCGCGAAAGCUAGGGGAGCAAACGGG
rnacentral:rRNA from 1 species